UGAUGGCGAAUAAAUUCUACACAACAUUGAGACAGGAAAUGAAUACUGAGUAUGCCAGUAUCCAGACUGCAGCCAGACCUCUGGGCAUAGUAAUCAGCAUCAGAAUACAGAGUUACAGAAUACAGAAUACAGAAUACAGAAUACAGAAUACAGAAUACAAACCAUUCCCCAACAGUUAUCAGCCUGAGGUGAAUAGGAAUCUGACUGAGGCUGUGGAAUCAAGGCAGAUCUCUUUCCGUAAUGUGCCAGACUGUCGAAAGCUUUAAGAAAAAAGGCUUUGAGCAAGAUAGAAUUUGGCCUCCAAUCUGCCUUGGACUUGAAGUAAAAUGUGAUCACUAGAUUUCAAACCUUCCACAGAUAUAACUUUCAAACAUGGCUGUUUCCUUCUACAAACUUCAAACUAAGUUUACCUUCACUAUUUGGAAUUAGAAGUGUGUAUACUAAGGGCGUGUCUAUAUUACAGACAGAGGAAUUAAAGAGCCAUGUUCCUACUUUUCUCAGCACUGAGAGACAAUCUGUAUACCCAGAAGGAGGAUGGGGCAAUGAAACACUAACACUGAAUGCAUCAAGACAAUGGAAGAGAAAGCCCAUACAGCACGACAACUAUACUUAAUAUAAUUGUCUUGUAUUUGACGCUUUAAAAAAAUAAGAUUUCACUUGCUUUUGUUACAAAAGUGAAUCUAUACAUUGAUCUAUAUAUUGAUUUGCUUCACUUUUCUAUCUGUAUGCAUUCCAUAAGAUACAUUAGAUGUUUCCAAAACAUAUAAUAAAAUUAAUUUUUUAAAAAUGACAAA